UGAUGAUAGUGAGGGCAAUUUCUGAGCAUACCCUUAAAUCUCUCCCAAACUUAGUAGAGAUUCUCUCCUUCUUUGUGUUAGAAACUCAAGAUCUCACUCCUCAAGCA
rnacentral:snoRNA from 1 species